UACGGGUGGCGCAAGUGUUACUCUUCAUCAUUGGGCGUAAAGGGUGUGUAGGCGGUGUAAUAAGUUUAAAGUAAAAUCAUAACAGACGAAAUUGUGUGAUUUUUUAUACUGUUAUACUAGAGUAUGAAAAAGAUAAUGGAACCUUUUAUAAAGAAUUUAAAUGCAUUGGCAUAUAGAAGGGAACACCGAAAGCGAAGGCAAUUAUCUAUAAAAUACUGACGCUGAGGCAACGAAGGCAUAGGUAUCAAACUGG
rnacentral:rRNA from 1 species